rnacentral:rRNA from 1 species
UAAUUUAGCGAAUCGAGUUUGACUCGAUGGAUCAUUCAAGUUUCUUCCCUAUCAGCUGUGUUGGUAAGGUAUUGGCUUACCAUGGCGUUUACGGGUGACGGAGAAUUAGGGUUCGAUUCCGGAGAGGGAGCCUGAGAGAUGGCUACCACAUCCAAGGAAGGCAGCAGGCGCGUAAAUUACCCAAUCAUAAAUCAUGGAGGUAGUGACAAGAAAUAACAAUCUGGGGCUUUUUUAAGUCUUAGAAUUGGAAUGAGUACAAUUUAAAAUUCUUAACGAUUAACCAAUGGAGGGCAAGUCUGGUGCCAGCAGCCGCGGUAAUUCCAGCUCCAUUAGCGUAUAUUAAUGUUGUUGCAGUUAAAAAGCUCGUAGUUGGAUUUCUGUUUGUUGUUUGUGUAGUUAAUUUAAUUAAGUACAAAAACAACAUUCAUCCUUUGGGGAAAUUGUUAUGCUAUUCAUUUAGUACAACACCAACCCCAAUCUUUUACUGUGAAAAAAUUAGAGUGUUUAAAACAGGCUAUUACGUCUUGAAUACUAGAGCAUGGAAUAAUAAAAUACGACUUUUUUGUAUUUUGUUGGUUUGCGAAAAAAGUAAUGAUUAAGAGGAAUAGAUGGGGAUAUUUGUAUUUUAUUGUCAGAGGUGAAAUUCUUGGAUUUAUAAAAGACAAACUACUGCGAAAGCAUUUAUCAAGCAUGUUUUCAUUAAUCAAGAACGAAAGUUUAGGGAUCGAAGAUGAUUAGAUACCAUCGUAGUCUAAACCAUAAACAAUGCCGACUAGAGAUUGGAGGAAAUUUUUUGUUCCUUCAGCAUCUUAUGUGAAAACAAAGUCUUUGGGUUCCGGGGGGAGUAUGGUCGCAAGUCUGAAACUUAAAGGAAUUGACGGAAGGGCACCACCAGGAGUGGAGCCUGCGGCUUAAUUUGACACAACACGGGAAAACUUACCAGGUCCAGACAUUAUGAGGAUUGACAGUUUGAGAGCACUUUCUUGAUUCAAUGGUUGGUGGUGCAUGGCCGUUCUUAGUUGGUGGAGUGAUUUGUCUGGUUAAUUCCGUUAACGAACGAGACCCCAACUCUUAAAUAAGUGUUGCUAUUUCACAAUAGUUUAAUAAUUACUUAAGAGGACAACUUGAUAUAACCAAGUGGAAGUUUGGGGCAAUAACAGGUCUGUGAUGCCCUUCGAUGUUCUGGGCCGCACGCGCGCUACAAUGAUAAAUUCAACAAGUUUUAACCUUUUUCGAGAGGAAUAGGUAAUCUCGAACAUUUAUCGUGAUGGGGCUAGAUGAUUGCAAUUUUUCAUCUUCAACGAGGAAUUCCUAGUAAACGCGAUUCAUCAAAUCGCAUUGAUUACGUCCCUGCCCUUUGUACACACCGCCCGUCGCACCUACCGAUUGAGUUAACAAAUGAGAACUUCGGAUUUAGAUUCUGUUAAGUUUUCGGACUUUUGAUUUUGAAAAAGUAGUUCUAAUUUUUUUGCUUAGAGGAAGGUGAAGUCGUAACAAGGUU